AGGACUAACGCUGGCGGCGUGCCUAACACAUGCAAGUCGAGCGGGGUAGCAAUACCCAGCGGCAGACGGGUGAGUAACGCGUGGUCAACCUUCCGUUGAAUGGGGGAUAACUAGCCGAAAGGUUAGCUAAUACCGCAUACGAUCUUUUGAAGGCAUCUUUAAAAGAUGAAAGGAGCAAUUCGUUCAACGACGGGACCGCGUCCCAUUAGCUAGAUGGUGGGGUAAUGGCCUACCAUGGCAACGAUGGGUAGCUGGUUUGAGAGAGCGACCAGCCACACUGGGACUGAGAAACGGCCCAGACUCCUACGGGAGGCAGCAGUGAGGAAUAUUGGACAAUGGGCGCAAGCCUGAUCCAGCCAUGCCGCGUGAGUGAUGAAGGCCCUAGGGUUGUAAAGCUCUUUUGUGCGGGAAGAUAAUGACGGUACCGCAAGAAUAAGCCCGGCUAACUUCGCGCCAGCAGCCGCGGUAA
rnacentral:rRNA from 1 species